rnacentral:tRNA from 1 species
GCCGAUAUAGUUCAGUGGCAGAACACCGCUUUCGUAAAGCGGUAACGCGGGUUCGAUUCCCGCCUUCGGCUCCA